GGGUCACUAGCUCAAGUGGUAGAGCAGCGGACUCUUAAUCCGUUGGUUCAGGGUUCGAGUCCCUGGUGGCCCA
rnacentral:tRNA from 4 species